rnacentral:rRNA from 1 species
CUACGGGACGCAGCAGUGAGGAAUAUUGCACAAUGGGGGGAACCCUGAUGCAGCAACGCCGCGUGGAGGAUGACGCAUUUCGGUGUGUAAACUCCUUUUAUAUGUCAAGAAAAUGACGGUAGCAUAUGAAUAAGCACCGGCUAACUCCGUGCCAGCAGCCGCGGUAAUACGGAGGGUGCAAGCGUUACUCGGAAUCACUGGGCGUAAAGGACGCGUAGGCGGGUUGGAAAGUCAGGUGUGAAAUCCUACAGCUUAACUGUAGAACUGCACUUGAAACUUCUAAUCUAGAGUCUGGGAGGGGGAGAUGGAAUUAGUGGUGUAGGGGUAAAAUCCGUAGAUAUCACUAGGAAUACCUAAAGCGAAGGCGAUCUCCUGGAACAUUACUGACGCUAAGGCGUGAAAGCGUGGGGAGCAAACAGGAUUAGAUACCCUCGUAGUC